UACGGAGGGGGCUAGCGUUGUUCGGAAUUACUGGGCGUAAAGCGCACGUAGGCGGCUUUGUAAGUUAGAGGUGAAAGCCCGGGGCUCAACCCCGGAAUUGCCUUUAAGACUGCAUCGCUAGAAUUGUGGAGAGGUGAGUGGAAUUCCGAGUGUAGAGGUGAAAUUCGUAGAUAUUCGGAAGAACACCAGUGGCGAAGGCGACUCACUGGACACAUAUUGACGCUGAGGUGCGAAAGCGUGGGGAGCAAACAGG
rnacentral:rRNA from 1 species